UACGAAGGGUGCUAGCGUUACUCGGAAUUACUGGGCGUAAAGAGCGCGUAGGCGGUCUCUUAAGUUGGAAGUGAAAUCCCAUAGCUCAACUAUGGAAAUGCUUUCAAGACUGAGAGACUAGAGAAUGGUAGAGGGUAGUGGAAUUCCUGGUGUAGAGGUGAAAUUCGUAGAUAUCAGGAGGAACACCGGUGGCGAAGGCGGCUGCCUGGACCAUUUCUGACGCUGUGGCGCGAAAGCGUGGGAGCAAACAGG
rnacentral:rRNA from 1 species